rnacentral:SRP_RNA from 1 species
GCCAGGUGUGGUAGUGCAUGCCUGUAAUCCCAGCUACUAGGGAGGCUGAGGCAGGGGAAUUACUUGAACCUAGGGGUUGGAGGUUGCAGUGAGCCGAGACCAUGCCACUGCCCUCCAGCCUGGGUGACAGAGCUAGACUCUGUCUCAA